UGCUCAGCUCCAACUACAGCAGCUACAAAGAGCUGAGGUGUAUGAUCUGAGUCUUUUCCUGGAUAAAUGGUUAGUGGGAAAUGAGUGAGAGAUUACAGCUCCAUGGACAUGUCUGCUCCGGACGCUUGGAGGGAAACCAGACCUUCCAGAAAUCAGGAUUUGCAGCGUCCUCUGAGGGUUCUGGCUCGGCCUAGGCAUCCUGUCAGCACCAGCACCUGGCUGCCCAGCGGCCGCGACUCUGCAUGCAGGAGACCCAUUUUUGUGUCAUUUGUCAGUAAGGCCAUCUUAUGGGAUCGAGGAGUCUGCCACUACACUAGUCUGGGAGUGGAUGUGCUACAAUUAACAGUGGCGUUGCCAUGGGGACAGCAGGGCUGUGUGGGCUGGCUUCCUGUCUUGGCCUCUGGUUAAACAAACAAGUAAAGUCGGCAGACAAAGAAGCCCGCUGGUCCUUACAGCCUCAUUUACAUCCUCAACUGCCUUCAGCACUUCUACAUUCAGCAAGUUCAUCAGGCUCCGCCAUAUCCCGUUGCCAUUCUCCACUCCUGCUCUGCUCCUGCUAUAUCUAAUAAAUCAGCA
rnacentral:lncRNA from 1 species